CACGUAUUCCCCAAGGUGUCUACAGCAUUGUGACAUAUUUUUACGCAUUUCCAUUAAAGAAUAGCCGCAAGGGAGCAUAUUUAGCAAGUGGUCACAUGGUGUCUCCCGCAGAAAAUCUUGCGUAAAAUACUGAGGUAAGCCAUUUUUCCAAUCGCUUCUUAUAAGAAACCAAUUGCCUCGACGGAUAUAUUAUCAAAUAUAUAUGUUAAAAACACCUUGAGGAUGGAUCCUAAACAACGUUUGCCGUGUUUCUGUCGAUAUUAUGGAGCUAAUUUUGAAAAAAGUUUGGCGUUGUAGUGGUAGCAUUUUCCGGUCGAUUUCUCAGCCAAGCAUGAUGAACAAACUGGAGCUAUUUCACCUACAAAAAUAAUAUUUUGGGAAAAAAGGAACAUUUGCUAUCUAACUGGGAGUCUCCUGAGUGAAAACAUCCGAAGUUCUUCAAAGGAAAGCUGCUGUGCAUCAUUUAUUGGAAAGGCUUCAACAGGAAAUGGCUUCCUGAAAUCCCUCAAGCAGCUGAUUGGUCGACUCCAGGGCUAAUUGAAGAGUUGACCCCGCCCCCUCGUCAAGACACAGCUGUUUCCAAUCACCCAUUCCUUCUGAAGCUAUAUAAAAGCCAGUGUUCUGUUCAGGAGAGAGAGAUUUUGCUGGGAGGUCAUU
ensembl:lncRNA